ACAGCAGCCGCGGUAAUACGUAGGGGGCUAGCGUUAUCCGGAAUUACUGGGCGUAAAGGGUGCGUAGGUGGUUUCUUAAGUCAGAAGUGAAAGGCUACGGCUCAACCGUAGUAAGCUUUUGAAACUGAGAAACUUGAGUGCAGGAGAGGAGAGUAGAAUUCCUAGUGUAGCGGUGAAAUGCGUAGAUAUUAGGAGGAAUACCAGUUGCGAAGGCGGCUCUCUGGACUGUAACUGACACUGAGGCACGAAAGCGUGGGGAGCAAACAGGAUUAGAUACCCUGGUAGUCCACGCCGUAAACGAUGAGUACUAGCUGUCGGAGGUUACCCCCUUCGGUGGCGCAGCUAACGCAUUAAGUACUCCGCCUGGGAAGUACGCUCGCAAGAGUGAAACUUAAAGGAAUUGGCGGGGGA
rnacentral:rRNA from 1 species